rnacentral:tRNA from 1 species
GAGGGUAUAGCUCAGUGGUAGAGUGCAUGCCUUGCAUGCAUGAGGUCGUAGGUUCAAUCCCCAGUACCCCUA